UGUCUUGCCACCGCUGCCACCGCCA
rnacentral:misc_RNA from 1 species